AGGAGGAGAAGGAGGAGAAGCGCCCCAAAAGGCAGACGUGCCUGGCAUCGACGAGGCCAGAGGCGCACCACCGCUGCCUCGAUCUCCGUAUCUCGGUAGAUCGACGCCUAAUGCCGCGGACACGGCACACGGCGAGGGAGAGAGAACGAGAGGGUGGCAGGCAGGCAGGCAAGCAGGGUAGGUGGGAGAGAAAUAGACAGGCGGUAGGAUGGGCGACGGGAGAAGGGAAGGCAAAGGGGAGAAGACCAGGGAGGAGGGCUUAUAUGGGGCCAGCCGCGGGAAUAUCCUUCGUCGUUCUGCGAAUUAAUCGCGCGACCCUCCGCCUCGACCGCCCUCCUCCUUCCCCCGCCACCCCCUCCUCCACCUCUCUAUCCUCGACAUCGUGCUCCGGCUCGCUCGACCUUUCCAUCAACCUUCUAUCCUCUUUGUGCGCCGCGCCACGAAUACCGACAAGCGAUCCGUGAUUCGUCCUUAUACCCCUCACCGACGAGCAGGAUGUUGGCAUCUUCGGCUGAAAGUCCGACCCAGAGAAACCCAGUGUCACGCGAACCCCGCGCGUACGACUCGCUGCUGCUUCUCUUCGGAAAGAGGAAUUUCUAUCGCCCUGCCGUGUCCGUCGAGAGUCCAGCUCGACUUCCGUUCCAUCCUAUGGACCCGUUGCCUCGGCACGAAGGCUAAAAAUCGAGACCAGAGCUGCCUCUGGCCGAGAGAGUCCGUCCCGGAGUCUGGACCCUUUCUCGACGGCGCAAAAGAAGGAGAGCUCGUACUGCUUCGUGGCAAAAGGGUUCGAAAAAGGUCGAGAAGAAGGCAGACCGGGGUAUAGAGAAGGAACGAGAAGAAGGGUGGCGGACGAGGUGGACGAGGAGGAGGAUGAGGAUGAAGGGGGCGAGAGGGGGGAAGGAAAGAAAGAUCCCCGCGGAACAGGGGCGAACCGGGAUGUCGUGGAAGUACCGGCGAAGGGACAGGAAGAGGGCGAGGAGGGAACGGUUCGUCCGUGGACGAGAAGGCUCGAUGCCGGAUUUUUCCAGCAGGGCCACGGUAGAAUGGAUGUGGGUAUAAUGGAGGCGAGCACCGUGCCUUCGUUGCCCGAUAAAAACUGCCGAUGGAAAGAGGACGUCGACGAGGGGGACGGUGGCCGGAUCAGCAGGGGGGAGGGGGAAAGAAGAGCAGCGACGCGAGUGGAAAGAGAGGGCUAGUGGAUAGAGAUAGAGGAACCUGUGAAUGAUUCUGAAGGGGUCGUUUCGUGGUGGCGCGUUUGGGGUUAGUGACCCGUAUAGCAGGUACGAAUCAUUGCCCGUCGAUUACGUCAUACAGAAGCGCCAUAUAACGCAUUACACCAGGCUACCGUGGAAACCCGUCUAACCGUUCGACUUUAAUCAACGAUACAAACUACACAAGUCAAUCUCCGUAUCAUCCCUAUCGAUGUAUCGCAACCAUAAAGAAAUUUCAUUCCUACAGAAUUACAUUAACCUGUUGUUGCUUUACGAAUUCUUCGCAGCAACUUGUAUAAGCGUUAACUGUUCGUUGUUCCUGAAAUCGAAGAACUCGUAACGUUGCCUCUUUCCGGAAGAGCAAACGUUUCAACUUUUUUAACCUUUUGAACAAGCCAACAUAUAUAAAUCCUUUCUCGAAAUAUAGAUUCCAUCCUGUCGCGAAGUCUCUCAGUUAGGCAUCGUUAAAGAUAUAAUUUGUCUUGUUAAUAUAACUAGGUAUUACGAAGCGAGGGGUUAAAAACAACAUUAACGAAAGCGAUGGUUAACGAAACAAAGACGAUGAAAGAAACAAGACUAAGAAGAGAGAAAACCUUCGAUCUAAAAAUACCAGCUAAAAAUACGAUCUAUCUCUAUAAAAUAAAAUAGUAACCCUAACCUACCUGGAAUUUAACUGAACAUUAUACAAUUAUGAGUUUCGAAUUCUAUCGGAAUGAUUAACGAAACAAAGAAGAAGACGUAAUAAAGCUGAAAGCAGAGAACGAGCGUGCCUUCGAUAAUCCGCAACUGCGGUCUCCUCGCGAUCUAAAUCAGUAGAGGAACGUUUCUCUAGGAACGUUUGGCGCGGUGUCGAGCAAGAGCGUCGGGAGUCGGGAGUUCGAUCCUAAAAGCGGUGGCGAGCGAGUGGGCUGGCAGGCGAGAGCGGGGUGCUUGGCCCUGGCAGCGAGAUCGCGGCACAGAAACGCGUUCGCCUCGAAGGAACGCCGUCGCGUUCGUCGUAUAUAAGGUCCGUAUAUACUCGCGUGUGUCGGUAUGUGUUCGUGUGUCCACGGUAGUAUAUCGCUGCGCGCGAUCCGCUCUCGCGCACACCACACCGCGAUCCAUCCGGCGAUUUCGUCGUUUCGAGCUGCUUCCGGCGCUGAUACGAGGAUUUUCGAGGAGAAGCAGAGCCAAGCCUCGUACUCGUGUGUAAUGCCGCUGCGAGUUGGUGUUGGCGCGGGCGCGCGCGCAAUUACGUCAGCCGCGUAACGUCGUGCAAACCGAUCGCGGCGCGCUUUUAGCGCGCGUGUUUCGUAAGCGCGAAAGAUCGCAGCGUCACGCCACGGCCUUAGACGUUCGUUCACGUAUCAGGCCGGCGAGCGUGUCCUUAUACAUAGAACGGCAAAGGACGCGAGUUUCUCGCACGGCCGGUGUUCGAGGCCGAUCAGGCUCAACCGAUCGUAGCCCGCUUCUUAAUUAUCGAUUCGUCCGUUGUAUAGAGCAUAGAGUAUAGACUAUAGGGAUACUGCGCAGCUAAUUUCGUUGUUACUAUUAUUGUACGUAUCGUUGCUAUUAUUAUAGAACUUUUAUUAAAUUUCAAAUGACAAGGUGUUUGGAGAUAGUUAAAGAACAACGAUAAUAGACAAAGGCAGGGUACAGCCGAGGGCUGCUUUGCAACCUAACCUUGUGUUUAUGUAAGUGGGGAAUUUAGCGUUGCAUAGCGUGUACGCUCGUUGAACUAGUACAUACUCGGUAUGACAAAUAUCGGGGUGUCCGCGACGAUGCCAUGAAUUUCGAGACUUUUGUUCCGUCACAGUUAAAGAUAAAUAUGUCGCUGCAAUUAACCUAUAGAACACUUCCUAACAAAGAUGUGUGUCGAUAAUGUAAAAAUAGCUGGAAAUAAAGUAACCAUAGCUACGCAA